AUUGAACGCUGGCGGCAUGCUUUACACAUGCAAGUCGAACGGUAACAGGCCGCAAGGUGCUGACGAGUGGCGAACGGGUGAGUAAUGCAUCGGAACGUGCCCAGUCGUGGGGGAUAACUGCUCGAAAGAGCAGCUAAUACCGCAUACGAGCUAUGGAUGAAAGCGGGGGACCGUAAGGCCUCGCGCGAUUGGAGCGGCCGAUGUCAGAUUAGGUAGUUGGUGGGGUAAAGGCUCACCAAGCCAACGAUCUGUAGCUGGUCUGAGAGGACGACCAGCCACACUGGGACUGAGACACGGCCCAGACUCCUACGGGAGGCAGCAGUGGGGAAUUUUGGACAAUGGGGGCAACCCUGAUCCAGCAAUGCCGCGUGCAGGAAGAAGGCCUUCGGGUUGUAAACUGCUUUUGUACGGAACGAAACGGUCUGGGUUAAUACCCUGGGCUAAUGACGGUACCGUAAGAAUAAGCACCGGCUAACUACGUGCCAGCCGCCGCCGUAA
rnacentral:rRNA from 1 species